UUUUUCUCCGGUUUUCUUCGAACCGGUUUACAUCCCUAGUACAUACCUACCUACCUCAUAAAUUGAAAAAGAUUUUGUUACUUACAAAAUAUACGUUUUCUCAAUUUAUAAAAAUUACUUGCUAAAGAAAAUGUGUGCACAGUCAUUUUCCAACAUAGACUUAGGCAGCCAGAGCCAGAUUGAAACUGAUAGAAAAAAACGAUGCCGAAAGAAAUACAAAUAUAUGAAAAUGAAAAUUAAGAGCUUAAUAUUGGAAAACGCAGCACUAUGUGAUGAGGUGGCCAAAAUACAAGAGAGCAUUCUGAUUGUAAAAGAUGAGAGAAAGUUUUUACUACAUAAACUACUAGAAUAUGAAAAUGAUACUGAAAGUAUUCAUUCUAGUUAUAGAAGUGAUACUUUAGUUAAUUUAAAUGGACCUAAAUCUAAAGUGAAAAAAAAACAAACUUUAGAAGAUAGAUAAAGUUAUUUAUAUAUAAAAUAUAUUUAAUGUAGUUGUCUAUUUAUGUAUUAUAAAUAUUACAAUUGAUUGAUAAGGAUGGUAAUUAUUACAAAAAUACAUUACCGUUUAAAUAUAUUUUGUACAUUGUU